UACCUGCAGCUCAAGUGGUGGCCGCUAUUAUUGGGCCUAAAACGUCCGUAGCCGGUUUCAUAAAUGCCUGGGUAAAUCAUACGGCUUAACCGUAUGAAUUCCGGGUAGACUGUUUAACUUGAGACCGGGAGAGGCUAGAGGUACUCCUGGGGUAGAGGUGAAAUUCUGUAAUCCUAGGGGGACCACCAGUGGCGAAGGCGUCUAGCUAGAACGGGUCUGACGGUGAGGGACGAAGCCCUGGGGAG
rnacentral:rRNA from 1 species